AAACAUAGAAGUUUGGUCCUGGCCUUUUUAUGAAUUCUCAGUAAAAUUACACAUACAAGCAUCCCCGCCCCAGUGAGAAAAUGCCCUCCAGAUCACCUGGUUCAAAAGAAGGAGGUAUCAAGCACGCAUAAACGCAGCUCAAAACACUUUGCUCGACCACACCCCACGGGAAACAGCAGUGAUAAAUUUUAAGUCAUAAGUGAAAGUAUGACUAACCUAUAUUAAUAUUUAGGGUUGGUAAAUUUUGUGCCAGCCACCGCGGCCAUACGAUUAACCCAAGCUAAUAAAACUCGGUAUAAAGAGUGUUUAAGGUCCGCAGUCAAUAAAGUUAAGCUCCAUCUAAAUCGUAAAAAUCUCCAGCUGAAAUAAAAUAUACUACUAAAGUGACUUUAAUGUCCUGAGGACACAACAGCUAAGGCACAAACUGAGAUUAGAAACCCCACUAUGCUUAGCCCUAAACACAAAUAGUUAUAUUAACAAGACUGUUCGCCAGAGUACUACAUGCAGCAGCUUAAAACUCAAAGGACUUGGCGGUGCUUUACAGCCUUCUAGAGGAGCCGGUUCUAUAAUUGAUAAACCCCGACAUACCUCACCACCUCUUGUCACUCAGCCUAUAUAACACCAGCUUCAGCAAACCCUAAUAUAUAUAUAUAUAUAUAUAGUAAACACAAGUAUGCACUAGGUCAAGGUGUAGUCCAUGGGAUGGUAAGAAAUGGGCUACAUUUUCUACAUCCAGAAAAAACUCACAAUAACCUUCAUGAAAUCUAAAUGUUCGAAGAGGAUUUAGUAGUAAAUCAAGAAAAGAGUGCUUGAUUGAAUAAGGCCAUAAGGCACGCACACAACGCCCAUCACCCUCCUCAAGUAGUGCUCUAGAAAUCACUAUUAUUAAUAAUUGCUUACACACAUACAGAGGAGAUAAGCCGUAACACGGUAAGUGUACUGGAAAGUGCACCUGGAUAAACCAAAGU
rnacentral:ncRNA from 1 species